CUUGCUAUAGUAUAACUUAGUGGCAGACGGGUGAGUAAUGUAUAGGAAUCUACCUAGUAGUACGGAAUAAUUGUUGGAAACGGCAACUAAUACCGUAUACGCCCUACGGGGAAAAAUUUAUUGCUAUUAGAUGAGCCUAUAUUAGAUUAGCUAGUUGGUGGAGUAAUAGCCUACCAAGGCAAUGAUCUAUAGCUGAUCUGAGAGGAUGAUCAGCCACACUGGAACUGAGAUACGGUCCAGACUCCUACGGGAGGCAGCAGUGGGGAAUAUUGGACAAUGGGCGAAAGCCUGAUCCAGCCAUGCCGCAUGAGUGAAGAAGGCCUUUGGGUUGUAAAGCUCUUUUAGUGAGGAAGNNAAUGACGGUACUCACAGAAGAAGUCCUGGCUAACUCCGUGCCAGCAGCCGCGGUAAUACGGAGAGGGCUAGCGUUAUUCGGAAUUAUUGGGCGUAAAGGGCGCGUAGGCGGAUUAGUAAGUUAAAAGUGAAAUCCCAAGGCUCAACCUUGGAAUUGCUUUUAAAACUGCUAAUCUAGAGAUUGAAAGAGGAUAGAGGAAUUCCUAGUGUAGAGGUGAAAUUCGUAAAUAUUAGGAGGAACACCAGUGGCGAAGGCGUCUAUCUGGUUCAAAUCUGACGCUGAGGCGCGAAGGCGUGGGGAGCAAACAGGAUUAGAUACCCUGGUAGUCCACGCUGUAAACGAUGAAUGUUAAAUAUGGGAAGUUUUACUUUCUGUAUUACAGCUAACGCGUUAAACAUUCCGCCUGGGGACUACGGUCGCAAGAUUAAAACUCAAAGGAAUUGACGGGG
rnacentral:rRNA from 1 species